UGGCCAGAGUGGAGCCAUGUGUCCUGAAUAGUUCUCAUUUCAGCACUCAUCUCGCCCUCCUGUUAUGAAAGUAAACAACCAAUGUGUGUUAAUGCCCUCUCUGUGCUGGAAUGCUGGUGCUCAGGGGUGGUUCCCCAGACCAGCAGCAUCAGCAGUGGCUGAGUACUUCUGUUAGAAAUGCCAAUCAGAAACUCCGGGGGCGGAAUCCAGCCAUCUGUGUUUCAACAAGCCCAGGAGAUUCCCACAAGGAGCAUUUCCUGGAAGCAGAACUUGUCUCUCACUGAAACAGGACGUGACUAUGAGGCGUGUUCCAAUUUCAGCUGUUGGCGCCCCGGCUGCCAGGAGGAAGCCACAGCCCCAGCCCCAUCCUUGGUGGAGAGUGCCGGAGAGCGUGGCCGCUUCCUGAGGCCGGCAGAGCAUUCCAGUCUUCCUCACGCAGUCUUAGCCGUCAGACUGGGGACUAACCCUACUUGGAGUCGAUAUUCCUGCAAGAAACCUUCACUUAGGAAGUUUGAUCUUUGCCACAUCACAGAGACGGGGAGAGAUCUCUCUCACAACAGAGCCAGAGGCCAGUCUUGACUAAAAGGAGAUAGAUACAGAUCGUCUUUUUAAAGAAAAAUUUUGCAACGGCGGAGGUAGGCUCCAAAUCUGGGAAAAGUUUGGAUUUUUGAGAAUGAAUACAAAUUAAAUGCAUUUCAAAAAAAUUAAAUGAACAUGAGGGGGAACAUUAAUGGAACCCUCCAUAAAAUUUUAAAAAAUCACCUACAAAUCUCAAUACGUCCACAAAUUAUUUUCAGAAAACAACAGGGGUUCUAAGAGACUGAAGCAUAUUCAUUUUGAUGAGUAACUGCUUGGGUCCUCUUGAAUGUACUGGGC
rnacentral:lncRNA from 1 species